rnacentral:rRNA from 1 species
UACGGGGGGAGCAAGCGUUGUUCGGAUUUACUGGGCGUAAAGGGCGCGUAGGCGGCCAGCACAAGUCAGUUGUGAAAUCUCCGAGCUUAACUCGGAAAGGUCAACUGAUACUGUGCGGCUAGAGUUCGGCAGGGGAGACUGGAAUUCCUGGUGUAGCGGUGGAAUGCGCAGAUAUCAGGAGGAACACCGGUGGCGAAGGCGGGUCUCUGGGCAGUAACUGACGCUGAGGAGCGAAAGCGUGGGGAGCGAACAGG